rnacentral:rRNA from 1 species
GGGGGAUAUUGCACAAUGGGCGCACGCCUGAUGCAGCGACGCCGCGUGAGGGAAGACGGUCUUCGGAUUGUAAACUUCUUUUAUUCGGGACGAAACAAAUGACGGUACCGAAUGAAUAAGCCACGGCUAACUACGUGCCAGCAGCCGCGGUAAUACGUAGGUGGCGAGCGUUAUCCGGAUUUACUGGGUGUAAAGGGCGUGUAGGCGGGACUGCAAGUCAGAUGUGAAAAUUAUGGGCUCAACCCAUAACCUGCAUUUGAAACUGUAGUUCUUGAGUGAUGGAGAGGCAGGCGGAAUUCCGUGUGUAGCGGUGAAAUGCGUAGAUAUACGGAGGAACACCAGUGGCGAAGGCGGCCUGCUGGACAUUAACUGAUGCUGAGGCGCGAAAGCGUGGGGAGCAAACA